rnacentral:lncRNA from 1 species
UUAAGGUGUCAAUCAAUUGUCCAAAAAGAAGAAAAAGACUUGGAAUGAACAAUUAGUGGACCUGGAGCCUCACUGUAAUGUAGCAUCAACCCAAAUAUCCAGUAUUUUAUGACCAUGGCAUUCCCUUUCAGCAACAAAUCUUGUCCACCUUCUCCUCCAAAAUAAUCGUACAGUCCAAUACGAUCAAGCUGCCCUUAGCUUCAACCAAAAACCAGUUUCGUAGCAAAUAUGCCCUGUAAGAUGUCCCCUGUUCUUUCUAUACUUGCCCUGCUACUAUCACUGUCACUACUCUUGUCUCCAACUUUUACCAGAAACCCAAACUUGGGUAAGUGGAAAAGUACUGUUAAGACUGCUUUCUCUUUUUAGUUUUCAAUAUUUUCUUUUUUGGGGUUAUUGUAGGAAAGAAAGACGAUGGAGAGAUUCAGAGAAAUCUAAUCGGAGUAAAUCCACCAGGUCAUGGUCAUUCACCAGGUGGCUGUAGCAGCUGUUUUCCUCCUUAUGUUGAUGAUGACGAGAAGGAAAAUUUUACUUGGGCAUCCCAGAUCCCAGCGCCAUAGUUAAUGCCUAAAAAGCCCUACCAUUCAAGUAUGUAUGUCCUUCUGAUUGGGUCUGUACCAUUAAAUCUUAUAUUAUAUGAAAGCAUAUAGAGUUGAGGUCUACUGGUUUCUGUUGGAAUAUUAAAUCAAAUUUAAUAUCUUUUCCAUUAAUAA